UACGUAGGGGGCACGCGUUAUCCGGAUUUACUGGGUGUAAAGGGAGCGUAGGCGGCUCUGCAAGUUGAAUGUCAGAUCUAUCGGCUCAACCGAUAUCCGCGUUCAAAACUGCAGGGCUUGAGUGGAGUAGAGGUAGGCGGAAUUCCCGGUGGAGCGGUGAAAUGCUUUGAUAUCGCAAGGAACACCGGCGGCGAAGGCGGCUUACUGGGCUUCAACUGACGCUUAAGCGCGAAAGCUAGGGUAGCGAACGGGAUUAGAUACCCCGGUAGUCCCUGA
rnacentral:rRNA from 1 species